UACGGAGGGGGCUAGCGUUGUUCGGAAUUACUGGGCGUAAAGCGCACGUAGGCGGCUUUGCAAGUUAGAGGUGAAAGCCCGGAGCUCAACUCCGGAAUUGCCUUUAAAACUGCAUCGCUAGAAUUGUGGAGAGGUAAGUGGAAUUCCGAGUGUAGAGGUGAAAUUCGUAGAUAUUCGCAAGAACACCAGUGGCGAAGGCGGCUCACUGGCCCGGUACUGACGCUGAGGUGCGAAAGCGUGGGGAGCAAACAGG
rnacentral:rRNA from 1 species